UACGUAGGGGGCAAGCGUUGUCCGGAAUCAUUGGGCGUAAAGAGCGCGUAGGCGGUCCGGUAAGUCGGUUGUGAAAACUGGGGGCUCAACCCUCAGAGGCCGACCGAUACUGCUGGGCUAGAGUCCGGAAGAGGCGAGUGGAAUUCCUGGUGUAGCGGUGAAAUGCGCAGAUAUCAGGAAGAACACCAAUGGCGAAAGCAGCUUUCUGGGACGGUACUGACGCUGAGACGCGAAAGCGUGGGGAGCGAACAGG
rnacentral:rRNA from 1 species